rnacentral:tRNA from 1 species
GCCCGUGUGGCUCAUUAGGAUGAGCGCCGCUUUCGUAAAGCGGAAACAGCCGGUUCGAAUCCGGCCAUGGGCU